rnacentral:rRNA from 1 species
AAGCCAGACUCCUACGGGAGGCAGCAGUGGGGAAUAUUGCACAAUGGGGGGAACCCUGAUGCAGCGACGCCGCGUGGGUGAAGGAGUACUUCGGUACGUAAAGCCCUAUCAGCAGGAAAGAAAAUGACGGUACCUGACUAAGAAGCCCCGGCUAACUACGUGCCAGCAGCCGCGGUAAUACGUAGGGGGCAAGCGUUAUCCGGAUUUACUGGGUGUAAAGGGAGCGUAGACGGCAGUGCAAGUCCGGAGUGAAAGCCCGGGGCUCAACCCUGGGACUGCUCUGGAAACUGUAAAGCUGGAGUGCGGGAGGGGCAGGCGGAAUUCCUGGUGUAGCGGUGAAAUGCGUAGAUAUCAGGAGGAACACCGGCGGCGAAGGCGGCCUGCUGGACCGUAACUGACGUUAAGGCUCGAAAGCGUGGGGAGCAAACAGGAUUAGAUACCCCGGUACAC